AGGGCUGUGGUGAAAUGGUAUCACAGCGGUCUCCAAAACCGCUUUUCAGAGUUCGAAUCUCUGCGGCCCUG
rnacentral:tRNA from 1 species